CACAAAGGUAGAAAAGAAUAGGAAGAAAUAAAAGUAUGGAAGAAAGUUGAUCUCAUAAACCGCACAGUAGGUGUGAGACAUAUUGCGAGUUGCUAUAAAUAAUAUGUCCAGUUUCCGACUCAAGCUCAAUAUAUAAAUAAAGAGAAAUGAUUUCAGAUAUUGAUGCUGUGAUCUCAAAUGGCUCAAAAUCGAGAUCAUCAACGCAAGCGAUCAGAACGAGGUUUUUGGAAACAAUCUUGAUAACUUCUUUCUUAUUCGCCGCAAUUCUCUUAGUCAUUCCUUACCAAUACAAAAAUGGCUACCCUGUUCCCACCGUGAUAUUCAACGGCAUCCCCUCUUCCGGUUUUCAUGCAUUUGUUGUAUCGCUCGUGUAUGCCUUCACCGGCGCCCUCACCGCUUUGUUAAUUCAUGACACCGCCGCCGCCUCAUUUCUUGCCAGAUUUUGUGAGCUUGUUUCAAUCCUUUGUAUGACAUCGGCUCUGUCUUUGUUGGUUUGGUCCCUCUUCACUCUCAGUUUUCCAAAGCCAUGUAUGCGAUUGGGAAGAAUUUAAGAGGAACUCCUCGCCCAAAACAGAAGUCGAAAAUAUAGUUACAUAUCAAUUAAUACAAUACGUAAGGGUUUAUAUUUGCAACCAUUGCGGCUCGUCCUUCCCUUCCCUUUGCAACUUCUACUUCUACCAUCUUGUUUAUGAGGUUUGUUUGUUUGUUUGUUUGUUUUUUUUUUUUUCAAAUUUUUGGAUUAAGAGUUUGCAAUCAAUGCCUUGCCAAAUUAGAAACGUUUGUCAUUUGUUGGUGAUAUGUUGUCAUCAUUAUACGUAAUGUAUAUGUACAUCCUUGUGGCUAGUUUGUUUGAGUGAGUGAUUAUUAGUGUGGUAGUAUUAAGUUAAUUGAUAUUAAAUUUAUGGAAUUACUUAGAAAUCUUUAUUA